rnacentral:rRNA from 1 species
AUGCACCCGGCCAUGGCGGCGGCGGCCUUCUUCCACGGCGGAGACGAGGAGAAGGCGGGGGUGGUGGUGCAGGGCGGCCUCAAUGCGGCGCGGCCGGCCUUCGUCACCCAGCAGCUCUUCCCGACGACGGCGGCGACGCAGCAGCAGGCGACGGAGCUCCCAUGGGGCGGGGCGGCUGCGCACUGGGCCCGGCCGGCGUCGAGGACCAAGAGCCGGCGCGGGCCGCGGUCGCGGAGCUCGCAGUACCGCGGCGUCACCUUCUACCGCCGCACCGGCCGCUGGGAGUCCCACAUCUGGGACUGCGGGAAGCAGGUGUACCUGGGAGGAUUCGACACUGCACAAGCCGCUGCAAGGGCGUACGACCAGGCGGCGAUCAAGUUCCGCGGCGUGGAGGCGGACAUCAACUUCGUGCUGGACGACUACAAGGAGGACAUCGGCAAGAUGAGCGUCUUGAGCAAGGAGGAGCUGGUGCAGGUGCUGCGGCGGCAGGGCGCCGGGUUCGUGAGGGGCAGCUCCCGGUUCCGCGGCGUCACCCUGCACAAGUGCGGCAAGUGGGAGGCCAGGAUCGGCCAGCUCAUGGGCAAGAAGUUCGUGUACCUUGGCCUGUAUGACACGGAGAUGGACGCUGCAAAGGCCUACGACAAGGCGGCGCUCGAAUGCAGCGGCGAGGAGGCGGUGACCAACUUCGAGCCCAAUGCGGCAGCGGCGGUGUGCGACGGCGAGCUCGGCCUGCAAGCUUGGGGCGGCGAGCCUGAUCUCGAGCUCAGCCUGGGCUGCUCCGGCGGCGGCGAUUCCUCCAUGGUCACCAGCGGCGACACCCUCCACACCGCAGCCGUGCCGGGCAGCCGGAGGACGAGCCUGACGUUCGAGAUGCCGGAGGAGGAGGAGGCGACGGCGCCAUGGCACCCCGGCAGGACCAGGAGCAUCUGGAUGAGGCCUUCGCCGGCGUCGAUAACACCGGCACUGAGGUGCCCGGACGGCGAUCACCGCCCCACCAUCCCGCUCAGCAGCAUGCUCCAGAUGGGCCAGAUCGGCGGAGGCGGCAGGGCAGAGCCACACAUGCUCGGGUGGCCCAUGGGUGGCAGCGAUCGUUGGCAGCCGUACGCCGCCGAGGCAGCAGCAGCAGCAUCAUCAGGAUUCCUGCCGGCGCCGGGGCUGGGAGGCGUCCAGCGGCAGAACCACCACCGGCCGGGCAGCAGGGAGCAACUGUGGCACUGA